AUAUCUCUCCGUACGGGAAGGAUGAGAAGCUUCGACUAAGGUUCGAUUCGAGCGCAGCGAGAAAGCGUUGCCGCAGGC
rnacentral:sRNA from 1 species